rnacentral:lncRNA from 1 species
UUGGAAAACUUAAUUUGGGCAGUCGAAACCUUACUUUAUUUUGCAGAUUUUGUGGACCCAGGAAGGAAGAAAUUCUUCUCCUCUAAUUAACCAUGCCUCCUUUCCUUCUUUUACUAUGGAAAUCAUAAUAAAAUCAAAAAAUUUGGGCAGCAUAAGGAGUAGAUGGCUGGUGGUUGCUUAAAGCCUAUCCAAAGGAGGAGAGAUUCUAUACCAAAUAGAAAGAAUGAUAUAUAGAAUAAAAUCAUAAAAAAAAUACCAUCUUAACCCUAGCCC